UGGGGAAUAUUGCACAAUGGAGGGAACUCUGAUGCAGCGACGCCGCGCGAGAGAUGAAGGAACUCGUUUUGUAAAACUCUGUUCUAGGGGAAGAAAAGGACUGUACCAUAGGAGAAAGCUCCGGCUAAAUACGUGCCAGCAGCCGCGGUAAUACGUAUGGAGCGAGCGUUGUCCGGAAUUAUGGGGCGUAAAGGGUGCGCAGGCGGCUUUACAAGUUGGAUGGGAAAUAUUGUGGCUCAACCACAAACGUGCAUCCAAAACUGCAAAGCUUGAGUUAAGGGAAGGUAAGUGGAAUUCCUGGUGUGGCGGUGGAAUACGUGGAUAUCGGGAGGAAUACCGGUGGCGAGGACGACGUGCUGGACUUAAACUGACACUCAGGCACGAAAACGUGGGGAGCGAACAGG
rnacentral:rRNA from 1 species